rnacentral:rRNA from 1 species
GUCUAUGGCCAUACCCUGAAUGUGCCCGAUCUCAUCUGAUCUUGGAAACUAACAGGGUCGGGCCUGGUUUGUACUUGGAUGGGAGUGGAACAGGAUUCUGCAGUUAGAAAUGAAACUAUGUUGACAUACACA